GCGAGAGUGGCGAAAAUGGCAUACGCACUGGACUUAGGAUCCAGCGGGGCAACCCUUGGGGGUUCAAAUCCCCCCUCUCGCACCA
rnacentral:tRNA from 3 species